CACAGUUCCUCACCUGAAGAAAAUGGGCAAGACAGGCUUUAUUUGAAAUGCAGGAAACUACAAAAGCCCAGUAGUGGGAUUGGAAGCAAAUCCUGGGCAGCUGGUUUUAGGACUUGGAAGAUGAGUAAGUCACAGGGCAGAAGACCACCAAGGCACUGCAGAAAUUUCAGGACCCAAAACUAUCAAUUACAGAAGGGAAAAGGUCAAGAGCUGGACCAAAAGUUGCCUAUUACUGACUGAAUACAGAGGAUGAAUGGUUUUAUUCUGAGAUCCUGAAAGCUGAAGGAUUUGGUGAACUUUUCAGGAUAGAAAAAAAAAAUCCUUUAUUCAUGCAGCUGUAGCAAGGCAAGGGACAGCUGGGUAGCUGAUGGGAGGAAACAU
rnacentral:lncRNA from 1 species